rnacentral:rRNA from 1 species
CAGCAGCCGCGGUAAUACGUAGGGUGCGAGCGUUAAUCGGAAUUACUGGGCGUAAAGCGUGCGCAGGCGGUUGUGUAAGACAGGUGUGAAAUCCCCGGGCUUAACCUGGGAACUGCGCUUGUGACUGCACAGCUAGAGUAUGGCAGAGGGGGGUGGAAUUCCACGUGUAGCAGUGAAAUGCGUAGAGAUGUGGAGGAACACCGAUGGCGAAGGCGGCUCACUGGUCCAUUACUGACGCUGAGGUGCGAAAGCGUGGGGAGCAAACAGGAUUAGAUACCCGCGUAGUCCCUGUCUCUUAUAC